rnacentral:rRNA from 1 species
GAUUAACGCUAGCGGCAGGCAUAAUACAUGCAAGUUGAACGGCAGCACAGGUAGCAAUACUGGGUGGCGAGUGGCGCACGGGUGCGUAACACGUAUGCAACCUACCCUAUACAGGCGAAUAACCUUUAGAAAUGAGGGCUAAUACGCCGUAGUAUUACAGAUGGGCAUCUAUUUGUAAUUAAAGAUUUAUCGGUAUAGGAUGGGCAUGCGUCCCAUUAGUUAGUUGGUAAGGUAACGGCUUACCAAGACGAUGAUGGGUAGGGGAUCUGAGAGGACUUACCCCCACACUGGUACUGAGACACGGACCAGACGCCUACGGGAGGCAGCAGUAAGGAAUAUUGGGCAAUGGCCGCGAGGCUGACCCAGCCAUGCCGCGUGCAGGAAGACGGCCUUAUGGGUUGUAAACUGCUUUUAUACGGGAAUAAUAGAGUGUACGCGUACAUUUAUGCAAGUAUCGUAUAAAUAAGCAUCGGCUAACUCCGUG